GUGGGGAAUAUUGCACAAUGGGCGCAAGCCUGAUGCAGCGACGCCGCGUGCGGGAUGACGGCCUUCGGGUUGUAAACCGCUUUUGAUCGGGAGCAAGCCUUCGGGUGAGUGUACCUUUCGAAUAAGCACCGGCUAACUACGUGCCAGCAGCCGCGGUAAUACGUAGGGUGCAAGCGUUAUCCGGAAUUAUUGGGCGUAAAGGGCUCGUAGGCGGUUCGUCGCGUCCGGUGUGAAAGUCCAUCGCUUAACGGUGGAUCUGCGCCGGGUACGGGCGGGCUGGAGUGCGGUAGGGGAGACUGGAAUUCCCGGUGUAACGGUGGAAUGUGUAGAUAUCGGGAAGAACACCAAUGGCGAAGGCAGGUCUCUGGGCCGUUACUGACGCUGAGGAGCGAAAGCGUGGGGAGCGAACAGG
rnacentral:rRNA from 1 species